rnacentral:misc_RNA from 1 species
GGAGGAAAAGAAACUAACAAGGAUUCCCCUAGUAACUGCGAGUGAAGCGGGAAAAGCUCAAAUUUAAAAUCUGGCAGUCCUUUGGCUGUCCGAGUUGUAAUUUAGAGAAGUGUUACCCGCGCUGGACCGUAUACAAGUCCUCUGGAAUGGGGCGUCAUAGAGGGUGAGAAUCCCGUCUUUGAUACGGACUACCAGUGCUUUGUGGUGUGCUCUCGAAGAGUCGAGUUGUUUGGGAAUGCAGCUCAAAAUGGGUGGUAAAUUCCAUCUAAAGCUAAAUACAGGCGAGAGACCGAUAGCGAACAAGUACCGUGAGGGAAAGAUGAAAAGAACUUUGGAAAGAGAGUUAAACAGUACGUGAAAUUGCUGAAAGGGAAACGCUUGAAGUCAGUCGCGUUGGCYGAGAAUCAGCCUUGCUUUUUUGCUUGGUGUACUUCUCAGUCGAUGGGUCAGCAUCAGUUUUGACUGCUGGAUAAAGUUCAAGGGAAUGUGGCAUCUUCGGAUGUGUUAUAGCCCAUGUUCGUAUACAGCAGUUGGGACUGAGGAACUCAGCACGCCGCAAGGCCGGGUUUUUAACCACGUACGUGCUUAGGAUGCUGGCAUAAUGGCUUUAAUCGACCC